UUUUGUACAGGAGCAAUGCAAAGAUGGGUGAAUACGAUACGUUGUUUUUAACCGAAGACGAUGUUACCGGGGAGAAACUGCCAACACCAAAAGUAAAGGAUCAUGCCAACUUUGUUUUGGAACGAUGUGGUUAGCCUGUCAGUGGCGAGUUGGGGAGAAAAGAGCAGCAUUGAUAGCAAGGCUACCAAGUACAUAUCAACUCAUUUUUGUGGCAGUUGACCAUUACAUCAUGUGUGCAGAUGCAAAAACUGCGUAGAAGUUGGUGAAGCUGUAGAGAUUGAUGUGAGCAUAGAUCAGGGGAAAUAGUAUUAGAGAAACUAGGAGGACAAGACAUAGAUAAUGCACUAGUAGAUCCAUCAUCACUGCAAGGGUAGUUUGUGUGAUCCUGUCCCUGAAACUGUGCCACAAGUUUUCAACUGUUUGAGUCCUUACUAAGACAAGCCGCUGCGGUGUGAAUUGCAAUAUGUACAUUCAGGUUAUAUGUGUCAGAUUGAUGACAAAAAAGACCUCCACAAUAUAAUUCAAAGGAGUUAUCCUUGCAUCUAUGCCUCAUCAAAAGUACACAGUGACAGUGACUAGAACAUUGUUUGCAAAUAGUGAGGCAGUGAAGGCUGCAAAGUGCCAUUGUUUUUCAGUAUUAAGAAUGACAGUAUCUGUUUUCAUUACUUAUUCAUUUUUAACUCACUUUGUUCUUUAAAAUGCCCAUUCAGUUUGAGGUUGGUGGCAAUAUAUGGUAAAUCUGUCAUGCCUGUACACAUGUAUGUAGAAUUUCUCUUGCUC